rnacentral:rRNA from 1 species
AUUGAACGCUGGCGGCAGGCCUAACACAUGCGAGUCGAGCGGAUGAAGGGAGCUUGCUCCUGGAUUCAGCGGCGGACGGGUGAGUAAUGCCUAGGAAUCUGCCUGGUAGUGGGGGAUAACGUCCGGAAACGGGCGCUAAUACCGCAUACGUCCUGAGGGAGAAAGUGGGGGAUCUUCGGACCUCACGCUAUCAGAUGAGCCUAGGUCGGAUUAGCUAGUUGGUGGGGUAAAGGCCUACCAAGGCGACGAUCCGUAACUGGUCUGAGAGGAUGAUCAGUCACACUGGAACUGAGACACGGUCCAAACUCCUACGGGAGGCAGCAGUGGGGAAUAUUGGACAAUGGGCGAAAGCCUGAUCCAGCCAUGCCGCGUGUGUGAAGAAGGUCUUCGGAUUGUAAAGCACUUUAAGUUGGGAGGAAGGGCAGUAAGUUAAUACCUUGCUGUUUUGACGUUACCAACAGAAUAAGCACCGGCUAACUUCGUG